UCAUUACUUUUGCUUUGAACUCUUUAUCAGAUAAAUUAUUUAUCUCUGCUUCAUUAAGGUUUUUUCAGGGGGUUUUUAUUUCUUUUUCUUUUCUUUGUCUUCUCAUUCUGUUUAACUUUGUCUGUAUGAAAUUAGGUGAAACAGUUACCUAUCUGGUCUUGAAGGUGUGCCCUGUGUGUGAGUGUCCCUGUGCGGUUUGCACGUGUCCAGUGGCUUUGGUGGAAGAGCUGGCUUUGAAGUGAGCAGGGCUGCAUAUGUCGCGAUGGUGUGCUGGCAGUGUUUGCCACGUAGGAGGUAAGGCUGGGGUUGGAAGGAGUAAAGCCAGAACUACGUGCAAGCCAGGGCUUCUGCUGUGCUCAGUGGUCAUCACAGCCCUCUCAGGUGUGAGGCCAGGAGCAGGUGCCCUGAGGGAGUUAGGUUUUUCCUGGGGGUGAAUGGUAGUCUCCACCUUGAUUUGGGAUGCGGCUGAGGCCUGAGGGCUUAGGGCUGCACUUCUGUGCUGGUUUCCCUUUUUCCCUGGUGUGCAAGCCUUGGUUGGAGGCUGGGUUGGGGCCUGAGGAGUUGCUGCCUCACCACUGGGCUGGCCCCAUCCUCUCCCAAGUGUGCACAGGGAAGGGAGCUUUGGAGAACGUGGUCUCUGCCUGGGAGCUAGUUUCACUCCCAAGUGUGUGCACCAAAACGCAUGCUAGCAAUGGCUGCCUCAGCCCUGGCCAGAGGCAUGGGCGGGGUCUGAGUUGCCUCUGCUCCCUCCAAUAAUACCCAUUCUCAUUGGAAACAGCGACCUCCGCCUUCGUGGGGAGCAAUGCCAGAGCGAGAGGGGCUGGGGCAGGAGCCUGGUGUGAGCUGUGCGGCGUGCACUGGGGGGGUCCUGGCAGGCAGGCCAGAGCCCCAGGCAGUUUCCAAUCUGCUGCGUCCGUGCUGUGCGUGUGUUCAGGAGGCCUGGUUUCUUACAGCACUCCGAUGUACAUAGUCUGAAAAGGCCUCAAUGAAAAUUAAAUUGUUUUCUGUACGGAACGAAUGCCAAUCGGACUUCAAAAUGAAGAUGCAAAAAGAAACAAGAGACAAAUUAAUACCAAUCACCUGAAUAUCAUAAACAAGUGAAGAUGGUAUUUUUUGUGUGCCUAGCAUAUGUGAGAUGCUGUUCUAGUCACUAGUGGUACAACAGUGAAUAAAACAGAAAAAUAAUCCUCACUUGUAUGUAGCACACAGUGAGGAAGAAUGAAAAAGGUAAAUAUAAUUAUGGCACGUUAGAAUCUGAUAAUGCCAAGCAAGAAAACCAAGGAGAUACCAGGAAAAGUUGGAGUAUAAAUUAAGGGUUGAAGUGCUGGAAAGACCAUAACAGAAAAACAGGGUGCAACACACUCUUUUUAAGUAUUUUAGACAGGAAGCUUCUGGCUAGGCUUUUACAUAGUGUCUGACGUGACCUGUGGGCAUUUGGCUGAAGGUGCAGAAUUCCAAAUGGAGAAGACACUAUCGGUGCUUCCAGCUGUCUGCCGGAGAGCUACCUUCAUGUCCUGCCGGCACUUUGAACUCCAAAAGUUUAAAUCAGCUUUCACCCCAGCCUACUCUUGCAUUUCAAGGCUCUGCUAAUCAUGCAGUUGUCUGAGAUGGACACAUCAGAGUCUCCCCGGCUUCUUUUUCUUAUUUCUUAUUUCUCUCCACAUCUGUUUAGUUGUCAGGUAGGCCCUCCCAGUCAUGAAUAGUCAUGAAAGGUCCUCAGGGCAGCUUCCUGAGUGUCCCCAUCACCACUUGUACUGGGUGCAGUGUCGGGACUGCACAGGCAGAAACUGGGAAGGCAUUCAUAGUCAGCCCCACUUAAUCCACAAGGGGAACAUGAAUGUAAUACUGAUUUAAGAAGCAGUGCAGGGUAGUCACGAAAUCAAAAUGCACUCUGGCUCAGGCAGGAAGGCCAGAAAGAUCGAAUCCAGUCAGGAUUGUGUCUUGAAGAACUAGUCGUCAGGCUACCAAGAGUUCCAUCCGCAUCCAGUUCUUUCCCGUGCCAGCCGUCCUCACUGGCAUGCCAGGUUGGGUCACUCCUGCGGAUCACUGGAGCUUUCCCUUCAGUGUUUCAAGGAUGCCGUGAGCUGAGACACAACUCACCUUCCCCAGCUCUCCCUAGAUUAUUGUAGCCAUCUCCUGACUGGUCUCCCUGUUGCCACUAUCCCAGCUAUCAAUCCACCUUCCAAAAUCACUAGUUCAGAAUUAUCUUUCUCAACAUGGAAACCGCGUGCUGCUCCUGUGGGGGGUUUCGUUUAUUUGUUUGUUUGUUUUAAGAUGGAUUGAUUGAUUUUAUUUAUUUUUGGCUGCAUCGGGUCUCAGUUGCAGCACGCAGGAUCUUCGUUGAGGC